ACGAACGCUGGCGGCGUGCUUAACACAUGCCAGUCGAACGGAAAGGCCCUGCUUGCAGGGUACUCGAGUGGCGAACGGGUGAGUAACACGUGGGUGAUCUGCCCUGCACUUCGGGAUAAGCCUGGGAAACUGGGUCUAAUACCGGAUAUGACCUUCCAUGUAGUGUGGGGGGUGGAAAGAUUUAUCGGUGUGGGAUGAGCCCGCGGCCUAUCAGCUUGUUGGUGGGGUAAUGGCCUACCAAGGCGUCGACGGGUAGCCGGCCUGAGAGGGUGGACGGCCACAUUGGGACUGAGAUACGGCCCAGACUCCUACGGGAGGCAGCAGUGGGGAAUAUUGCACAAUGGGCGGAAGCCUUAUGCAGCGACGCCGCGUGGGGGAUGACGGCCUUCGGGUUGUAAACCUCUUUCGACAGGGACGAAGCUUCGGUGACGGUACCUGUAGAAGAAGCACCGGCUAACUACGUG
rnacentral:rRNA from 1 species